GGGCCCCGGGCCGAGCCGGGGGUGGGGGCUUGGGGAGGCCGUGCGCCCGCGGCCGUGGGCGAGCGUCCGUGCGGCCUGGUCCGGGCAAUGUCCGCGUGAGGACGCCGCCGCCGCCGCCGCCGCUGCCCCAGCCUCGGCCCGGCCCGCCGCCCACCAUGGGCUCCAUCCUGAGCCGCCGCAUCGCGGGCGUGGAGGACAUCGAUAUCCAAGCGAACUCGGCCUAUCGCUACCCCCCAAAGUCCGGAAACUACUUCGCAUCGCACUUUUUCAUGGGAGGUGAGAAAUUCGACACCCCUCACCCUGAAGGUUACCUCUUUGGAGAGAACAUGGACCUGAACUUCCUGGGCAAUCGCCCGGUCCAGUUCCCUUACGUCACACCUGCGCCCCACGAGCCCGUGAAGACGCUGAGGAGCCUGGUGAACAUCCGCAAAGACUCCCUCCGGCUUGUGAGGUAUAAGGAUGGUGCUGACAGCCCCACUGAGGACGGCGAGAAGCCCCGCGUCCUCUACAGCCUGGAGUUCACCUUCGACGCUGACGCCCGGGUGGCCAUCACCGUCUACUGCCAGGCGGUGGAGGAGUUCAUGAACGGGACUGCUGCGUACAGCCCCAAGAGCCCGGCCCUGCAGUCGGAGACCGUCCACUACAAGCGCGGUGUGAGCCAGCAGUUCUCGCUGCCCUCCUUCAAGAUCGACUUUUCGGAGUGGAAGGACGACGAGCUGAACUUUGACCUGGACCGGGGCGUGUUUCCAGUGGUCAUCCAGGCCGUGGUGGAUGAGGGGGACGUCGUGGAAGUGACCGGCCAUGCCCACGUGCUCUUGGCCGCCUUUGAAAAGCAUGUGGACGGCAGCUUCUCCGUGAAGCCUUUAAAGCAGAAGCAAAUCGUGGACCGGGUUAGCUACUUGCUGCAGGAGAUCUACGGCAUCGAGAACAAGAACAACCAGGAGACCAAGCCCUCAGACGAGGAGAACAGCGACAACAGCAACGAGUGCGUGGUGUGCCUGUCUGACCUGCGGGACACGCUGAUCCUGCCCUGCCGCCACCUCUGCCUCUGCAACUCCUGUGCGGACACGCUGCGCUACCAGGCCAGCAACUGCCCCAUCUGCCGGCUGCCGUUCCGGGCUCUUCUGCAGAUCCGGGCGGUGCGCAAGAAGCCGGGGGCCCUGUCCCCCAUUUCCUUCAGCCCCGUUUUGGCCCAGAGCAUGGACCACGACGAGCAUUCUGAGCACUUUCCACGAAGCACCAGAGCCCACUGUCCCUUUAAAAAAUCAAAGUCGCACCCCGCCUCACUGGCCAGCAAGAAACCUAAAGGGGAAACAAGCGCCGACAGCAUCCCGCCCGGCUACGAGCCCGUCUCCUUGCUUGAGGCACUCAACGGCCUUCGGGCGGUGCCCCCUGCCAUCCCCCCAGCCGUCCCCACGGCUCCCCUCUAUGAGGAGAUCACCUACUCGGGCGUCUCAGAUGGCCUGUCGCAGGCCAGCUGUCCACUUGCCGGGAUCGAUCGGAUGGUGGAAAGUAGCCUGCAGAAGGGCAAGCCCCGGAACAAGUCCCCCGACAGCACCCUCCGGUCCCCGUCGUCCCCCAUCCACGAGGAGGAUGACUCAGAGGCUCUGCCCGCGCUGGGUGGGGCGGGGCUGGCGCUGAGCAGCUCCCCCGAGAGCUUCAUGACGGAGACAGUGGAUGAGACUUCGUCGCUGAAGCAAGGGAGCCGCGUGCCAUCCAUCGAGAAUGUCCUGCAGGACGGCAGCCCCGAGCCCUGCGGCCGCAGCCAGCCUAGUGCACCUGCCGACGUCUACCUGCCAGCCCUGGGGCCCGGCUCCUGCUCCGCUGGUUUAGAGGAGUAAGCCGACCUCUCCUAUCUUCCUUGGUCGCUUUUUGUGACAACGCUUAGCUUCAACUGAAAUAGGACCUGGCACUUUUAUGACGUUGGCCCCAGCCUCACCCUUGGAAGAUAGUGUUGCCACUUGGGAUGGUCCACCUCCAUGGAGACUCCCCGCAGCCUCCACAUCGCUGGGCACCCCCGGCCCCCACUUGGCGGCCCCAGCCCCGACCCCAGGGCCGCUGAGCUGACCCCGCUCUGAGAGCCUGGCCCAGCUGGCAGCACGGAGCCCCCACCUCCGCCGAGAUCCCAGCACGACCCUGGACCCUCCAGUCUGCACAGCGGUGUGGUCUCCGGCUCCAAGGGGCCAUGUGACCCUCCAUCCGAGAGGACAGCUGGCCGUCGCCUCCGCCCACCCCUUUUUCUGUGGUCGACGUGUUUGCUGAUGGUACACGAUGAAGGACGGCGGCUUUCUGCCCGGGGCGCCGAGCUCUGGGGUGCCCCCCGCACACCCCGGGAGGCUGGUCGCCCACGAGAAUCCUGGAUGGGCCUCCACAGCCCCCAAGCUCGUGGGGCCCGUUGGCACCAGUGAACGCAGCAGAGCGGAGAAUUCAGCUGUGAACCAAGUGCAGCCUCGACAGUAAACGACGCAGGACUCUGGGAGGGCAGGAGGCGGGGUCCGAGUCUCAGCCAAUGAAGGAAACAGUGCCUGUGCCCCACUGUGCGUGUGGCCGCCCCCUCCCCACUGGCCCCGUGGGGCACCUCCCUCAGCUCGGCCGGCCGGGCAGCCGUUCUUCCCGUGGGCCCGGCCGCUGGCAGUGGUUCUGUCCGGGCCCUUCUCUGAGUCUGGCACCUUCUCAGAGGCAGCCUCGCCCACCUUACCGGACCCUCCAGGCGGGGGUUCCGCUUGCCAGUGGCACUCCUGUCCCCCUGGGGGUGUGACGGGCCUCUGGGCUCCUCUGCCCUCUCUUUGCCAUGUAGACGUGACUCACCAUCCCUCCUUGAUUCCUUCGGUUUGGGGCUCCUGGGGUGGGACCUGCCUGGGGGUUGUGGGUCCCAUUUGAGGUGACCUCGUCUUUUAAAGAUACAUUUUCUGGGCAGCAGAAAGGCCGAGGGGGCGCUUGGCCUUGGUGCCCCGGACCGGCUGCCCGUGCAGGGCCUUGAGCCUGGCGGGUGGGUCUCAGCACCCAGGAGCCGGCCCUUGGCCAGCGAGAGAGGGCCCGGCUCCCUGCAGAGCUGCCCCAGGGAGCACGGUCCCGGGGCGGCUGGCAGCCCUGCCCCAGGGCACUCAGGGUGGACGCCAUUUCUCUCCGGUCAAGCCUGUGAGCAGAGGCCACAGCCAGGGCAGCCUGCCCCAGCCCCUUGGCUCCCUGCGUGCCCUCCCCUCUCAGCCACCAUGUGCUUCUGGGUGCACACGUGGCAAUGCACACACGCACACCUGCACACACAGGCGGGGAGGCCGUGUCCCACUGCUCACUCUGCGCGGUCAGCACCCCAACCUCUCACCACCUGUGUUGGUGUCAGUGAUUCUGCAGGACAGGGUGCAGACUGGCCUGUCUUGGACUCACAUGUGCUGUCAUUUGACUUACUCUGAUUGGCUAGUUUUUGUUCGUUUUUACUGUAUAUUUAUAGUAAUAAAACCACGCAGCAGUA